rnacentral:rRNA from 1 species
AGUGAACGCUGGCGGUAGGCCUAACACAUGCAAGUCGAACGGCAGCACAGUAAGAGCUUGCUCUUACGGUUGGCGAGUGGCGGACGGGUGAGGAAUACAUCGGCAUCUACUUUUUCUUGGGGGAUAACGUGGGGAAACUUACGCUAAUACCGCAUACGACCUACGGGUGAAAUCAGGAGAUCUUCGGACCUUGCCCGAUUGAAUGAGCCGAUGUCGGAUUAGCUAGUUGGCGGGGUAAAGGCACACCAAGGCGACGAUACGUAGCUGGUCUGAGAGGAUGAUCAGCCACACUGGAACUGAGACACGGUCCAGACUCCUACGGGAGGCAGCAGUGGGGAAUAUUGGACAAUGGGCGCAAGCCUGAUCCAGCCAUACCGCGUGGGUGAAGAAGGCCUUCGGGUUGUAAAGCCCUUUUGUUGGGAAAGAAAAGCAGCAGGUUAAUACCCCGCUGUUCUGACGGUACCCAAAGAAUAAGCACCGGCUAACUUCGUG